GUGAGUGUAGCUCAGUUGGCAGAGCACCAGACUGUGGCUCUGGCUGUCGUGGGUUCAAUCCCCAUCACUCACC
rnacentral:tRNA from 1 species